GGAAGGAUCAUUAUUGAAUAAACUUGAACAGGUUGUUGCUGGCCCUUCUAGGGUACUGUGCACGCUUGUCAUCUUUACUUCUCCAACUGUGCACACACUGUAGAUCCUGGAGUUUUUGAUUGUUUCGAUUGAGGACUGCUGUGCCCUAGGCCAGCUUUGCCUUGCAUCUCCAGGUCUAUGUUUUAUCACAAACCUCUGAAUGUGUUUAGAAUGUCAAAUAUAAAAAGUUAAAAUAUACAACUUUCAGCAACGGAUCUCUUGGCUCUCGCAUCGAUGAAGAACGCAGCGAAAUGCGAUAAGUAAUGUGAAUUGCAGAAUUCAGUGAAUCAUCGAAUCUUUGAACGCAUCUUGCGCUCCUUGGUAUUCCGAGGAGCAUGCCUGUUUGAGUGUCAUUAAGUUCUCAACCACACUGGUUUCAUAUCAGGUGUGGCUUGGAUAUUGGGGGUUACCUUUUGCAGGCUUCAGAAAUGAAGUCGGCUCCCCUGAAAUGUAUUAGUGGUAUCUGAGCAGAAUCUACUACAGGUGUGAUAAUUCGUCUAUGCCUUGGUGGUCUGCAAAAAAACCAGAUUACACUGCUUAUAACAAAAACACUCUUUGACAAAUUUGACCUCAAAUCAGG
rnacentral:rRNA from 1 species